rnacentral:rRNA from 1 species
GCUCCAGACUCCUACGGGAGGCAGCAGUGGGGAAUAUUGCACAAUGGGGGGAACCCUGAUGCAGCGACGCCGCGUGGGUGAAGGAGCACCUCGGUGCGUAAAGCCCUAUCGGCAGGGAAGAAACAGACGGUACCUGACUAAGAAGCCCCGGCUAACUACGUGCCAGCAGCCGCGGGAAUACGUAGGGGGCAAGCGUUAUCCGGAUUUACUGGGUGUAAAGGGAGCGUAGACGGCCAGACAAGUCUGAAGUGAAAAUCCAGCGCUUAACGUUGGAAGUGCUUUGGAAACUGCCGGGCUGGAGUGCGGGAGGGGCAGGCGGAAUUCCUAGUGUAGCGGUGAAAUGCGUAGAUAUUAGGAGGAACACCAGUGGCGAAGGCGGCCUGCUGGACUGCAACUGACGUUGAGGCUCGAAGGCGUGGGGAGCAAACAGGAUUAGAUACCCGAGUAC